rnacentral:rRNA from 1 species
GAUGAACGCUGGCGGCGUGCUUAACACAUGCAAGUCGAGCGGUAAGGCCCUUUCGGGGGUACACGAGCGGCGAACGGGUGAGUAACACGUGGGUGACCUGCCCUCAGCUCUGGGAUAAGCCUGGGAAACCGGGUCUAAUACCGGAUAUGACUCCAUGACGCAUUGUUGUGGGGUGGAAAGCCUUGUGCGGCUGAGGGAUGGGCCCGCGGCCUAUCAGCUUGUUGGUU